AUUUUGAUGGCUGAUAAUAGGCGAUAGAUUGUAAAUCUUUUUAUGGGUCAAUCCCUCUUGCUA
rnacentral:tRNA from 1 species